rnacentral:rRNA from 1 species
GGUCACUGCUAUUGGGAUUCGACUAAGCCAUGCGAGUCGAGAGGGUUCGGCCCUCGGCUGACGGCUCAGUAACACGUGGAUAAUCUGCCCUUAGGUGGAGGAUACCCUCGGGAAACUGAGAAUAAUACUCCAUAGGUCUAGGAUGCUGGAAUGCAUCUAGACURAAAACUCCGUGUGCCUAAGGAUGAGUYUGCGGACUAUCAGGUUGUAGUCAGGGUAAAGACCUGACUAGCCUACGACGGAUAUGGGUUGUGARAGCAAUAACCCAGAGAUGAUAUCUGAGACACGGAUAUCAGGCCCNUACGGGGCGCAGCAGGCGCGAAAACUUCACACUGUGCGAAAGCACGAUGAGGGAAUCCCAAGUGCCAGCUCGUAAGAGUUGGCUGUUUUUCUGCUAAAACACAGAGAGAGUAAGAGCUGGGUAAGACGGGUGCCAGCCGCCGCGGUAAUACCUGCAGCUCGAGUGGUGGCCGCUAUUAUUGGGCCUAAAACGUCCGUAGCCGGUUUAGUAAAUGCCUGGGUAAAUCGUGUAGCUUAACUAUACGAAUUCCGGGUAGACUGCUGAACUUGAGACCGGGAGAGGCUAGAGGUACUCCUGGGGUAGAGGUGAAAUUCUGUAAUCCUGGGGGGACCACCAGUGGCGAAGGCGUCUAGCUAGAACGGGUCUGACGGUGAGGGACGAAGCCCUGGGGCGCAAACCGGAUUAGAUACCCGGGUAGUCCAGGGUGUAAACGCUGCUUGCUUGAUGUUAGUUGGGCUCCGAGCCCAAUUAGUGUCGGAGAGAAGUUGUUAAGCAAGCUGCCUGGGAAGUACGGCCGCAAGACUGAAACUUAAAGGAAUUGGCGGGGGAGCACAGCAACGGGUGGAGCGUGCGGUUU